UACGGAGGAGGCAAGCGUUAUCCGGAAUCAUUGGGCGUAAAGCGUCCGUAGGUGGUUGGUCAAGUCAAUUGUCAAAGCGUGGAGCUUAACUCCAUAAGGGCAGUUGAAACUGACUAGCUGGAGUGCGAUAGGGGCAAGGGGAAUUCCCAGUGUAGCGGUGAAAUGCGUAGAUAUUGGGAAGAACACCGGUGGCGAAAGCGCCUUGCUGGGUCUGCACUGACACUGAGGGACGAAAGCUAGGGGAG
rnacentral:rRNA from 1 species